GAUGAACGCUGGCGGCGUGCCUAAUACAUGCAAGUCGAGCGAACGGACGAGAAGCUUGCUCCUCUGAUGUUAGCGGCGGACGGGCGAGUAACACGUGGAUAACCUACCUAUAAGACUGGGGUAACUUCGGGAAACCGGAGCUAAUACCGGCUAAUAUUUUGAACCGCAUGGUUCAAAAGUGAAUGACGGUCUUGCUGUCACUUAUAGAUGGAUCCGCGCUGCAUUAGCUAGUUGGUAAGGUAACGGCUUACCAAGGCAACGAUGCAUAGCCGACCUGAGAGGGUGAUCGGCCACACUGGAACUGAGACACGGUCCAGACUCCUACGGGAGGCAGCAGUAGGGAAUCUUCCGCAAUGGGCGAAAGCCUGACCGAGCAACGCCGCGUGAGUGAUGAAGGUCUUCGGAUCGUAAAACUCUGUUAUUAGGGAAGAACAUAUGUGUAAGUAACUGUGCACAUCUUGACGGUACCUAAUCAGAAAGCAACGGCUAACUACGUG
rnacentral:rRNA from 1 species